rnacentral:rRNA from 1 species
CAAUAGCGUGUAUUAAAGUUGUUGCGGUAAAAAAGCUCGUAGUUGGAUUUCUACCGAAGAUAGCCGGUCGGGUCUUCGACCUUGUAUCUGGUUUUGUCUUUGGUAUCCUCGUAGGGAACGUUUCUGCGCUUUAUUGCGUGGUGCGGUAUCUAUGACUUUUACUUUGAGGAAAUUAGAGUGUUCACGGCAGGCAAACGCCUUGAAUAUAUUAGCAUGUAAUAAUAACAUAGGAUCUUCGUCCUAUUUUGUUGGUUUCUAGGGCUAAGAUAAUGAUUAAUAGGGAUAAUUGGGGGCAUCUGUAUCAACGCGUCAGAGGUGGAAUUCUUGGAUUGCGUUGCGACAAACUACUGCGAAAGCAUUUGCCAAGGAUGUUUUCAUUGA